ACAUCUCUUGGAGUUCUAGCUCACCUUUCUGGUGUUGUUCUUGUACUCAUCUGUUUAAUCUAGUUCUGCCACUUCUUCUUGAACUUCUUGUUAGAUUUCAAGUCUGUAUUUUGUGUCCGUGACAGUUUGUCAAGACUACACUAACUUGAGAUAUCAGAGCUAGUUCUUUCUUAGUAGAGUGUAGAUUACCCCUCUACUUGAAGGUAUACUAGCAUUUUUUAGAGGUUGCGGAUUACCCUCCUCUAAACUGAUACUUCUUCUGUUACAAUAUUGGAGUCUUAUUCUUCUUGGAGAGAGUGGAUUACCCCUCUUCUUGAAAUUCUUAAGGCG
rnacentral:lncRNA from 1 species